CGCGCGAGGACACGGUGGAUUUACAGCGGCUCCCGCGCGGAGCUGCGCGAGGAGGGACGAGGAGAAUGAAGGAGAGAAGAACAGAGGACAUUAACACCAGACCAACUUCCACCAGACACUGACACUUGAGGGGGGGAAAAAGCCGACAGCACUCACAAAAGACAAAGACAAUGCGCCGAGGAAAGAGACCCCGCUGUCCAGAAGUGUGUGUGGAUGACAUGAGCACUCGGUCGCCGACUCUUCAGAAUGGGCCACGCCGAGAAGGGCGAGUUCUCUUCUCCACUCACUCCUCGUGACACCAGAGGGGCUGAAGCCGAGAAUCAUGGGAGUUGUAGUCCAUUUGGUGGUGAUCGUCUGGGCUUCGCUUGGUUGGUCCAGGGCCGCAGAGAAGCCCCCAUCUUUGAGCGUGGCGGUGAUCCUGGGCCAGACGCGGG